GGGCCCGUAGCAUAGUCAGGAUAGUGCAAUCGGCUUCGGACCGAUUGACCGGGGUUCGAACAGACUCACUGGUGUUCGUAGCUUUCGACUCCAGUGUCAUCGAAAGUCCUCGCGGGCUCA
rnacentral:tRNA from 1 species